rnacentral:rRNA from 1 species
CCUACGGGAGGCAGCAGUGGGGGAUAUUGCACAAUGGGGGAAACCCUGAUGCAGCGACGCCGCGUGGGCGAAGAAGUAUUUCGGUAUGUAAAGCCCUAUCAGCAGGGAAGAAGAAAUGACGGUACCUGAGUAAGAAGCACCGGCUAAAUACGUGCCAGCAGCCGCGGUAAUACGUAUGGUGCAAGCGUUAUCCGGAUUUACUGGGUGGAAAGGGAGCGCAGGCGGCACGGCAAGCCUGAUGUGAAAGCCCGCGGCCCAACCGCGGGACUGCAUUGGGAACUACCGGGCUGGAGUGCCGGAGAGGUAGGCGGAAUUCCUAGGGUAGCGGUGAAAUGCGUAGAUAUUAGGAGGAACACCAGUGGCGAAGGCGGCCUACUGGACGGUGACUGACGCUGAGGCUCGAAAGCGUGGGGAGCAAACAGGAUUAGAUACCCUAGUAGUC